UUUCGUAGGCUUUUUGUUAAGUUAUCUUUCAAAGACCACGGCUCAACCGGGGGAAGGGAGAUAAUACUGGCAGAAUUGGUUAUCGGUGGGGUUUCCGGAACUGAUGGUGUAGUAGUGAAAUACGUUGAUAUCAUCAGGAACUCCGAGGGCGAAGGCAGGAAACUAACCGAUUAACGACGCUGAGGAACGACAGCUAGGGGAGCGAAAGGGAUUAGAGACCCCUGUAGUCCUAGCCGUAAACUAUGCUCGCUAGGGGUUUGUGGUUUACCACAGGCCCCGUAAGCUAACGCGUUAAGCGAGCCGCCUGGGGAGUACGGCCGCAAGGCUAAA
rnacentral:rRNA from 1 species